CAAAAGAAGUAGGUAGUUUAACCUUCGGGAGGACGCUUACCACUUUGUGGUUCAUGACUGGGGUGAAGUCGUAACAAGGUAGCGCUAGGGGAACCUGGCGCUGGAUCACCUCCUUAUACGAUGAU
rnacentral:rRNA from 1 species